UACGUAGGGGGCAAGCGUUGUCCGGAUUUAUUGGGCGUAAAGAGCGUGUAGGCGGCCAUGCAGGUCCGUUGUGAAAACUCGAGGCUCAACCUCGAGACGCCGAUGGAAACCGCAUGGCUAGAGUCCGGAAGAGGAGAGUGGAAUUCCUGGUGUAGCGGUGAAAUGCGCAGAUAUCAGGAAGAACACCCGUGGCUAAGGCGGCUCUCUAGUACGGUACUGACGCUGAGACGCAAAAGCGUGGGGAGCGAACAGG
rnacentral:rRNA from 1 species